GCCAAGAUGGCUCAGUGGUUGAGCAUUGACCUAUGAAACAGAAGGUCACAGGUUCGAUUCCUGGUCCGGGCA
rfam:Myotis lucifugus cont2.71914, whole genome shotgun sequence.